rnacentral:lncRNA from 1 species
CUCUGAUGAGUCUUCUUAUAGACACAACAUGCGCCUGGCGUACACAUUGGUAAUCCGGGUAUCAAUGAUGAUUCUAUUUAUAACAUACGUACAGUUAUCAGGAACUAAAAAGCCGUGAACUUGUGGUACUUUUAUAAAUACUAGUAUCAAUAAAAAAAUCUUUCCGUUUGGUGUCUAAAAAAUGUUAUUAAGAGCAAAACCCUUAUUCUGUAGAAUCUUUUAGACCAACCAUUAACAUAAGUGAUGCACGACCGUUACUGUAAUCUAGUCCUGAGAGAUGGCCUAGACCUUCGUGAAGCAUAUGUUCACAAAUACCGAAUGAUUUUAUUUCACUUAAGAUAGUUCAGGGGUAUAGAAAAAAAGACAGAAUUUUCUAAUACUUUGACAAAAUGAAGGUUUUACUAUGCUUUUUUUUUAAUGAUAAAAAGUAUGGGUCCCCGCGUUAAUUUUUAAGGAAC